GACGAACGCUGGCGGCGUGCUUAACACAUGCAAGUCGAACGGAAAGGCCCUGCUUUUGUGGGGUGCUCGAGUGGCGCACGGGUGAGUAACACGGGAGUAACCUGGCCUUGACUUUGGGAUAACUUCAGGAAACUGGGGCUAAUACCGGAUAGCAGCUCCUGCUGCAUGGGGGGGGUUGGAAAGUUUCGGCGGUUGGGGAUGGACUCGGGGCUAAUCAGCUUGUGGGUGGGGUAGUGGCUUACCAAGGCUUUGACGGGUAGCCGGCCUGAGAGGGUGACCGGCCACAUUGGGACUGAGAUACGGCCCAGACUCCUACGGGAGGCAGCAGUGGGGAAUAUUGCACAAUGGGCGGAAGCCUGAUGCAGCAACGCCGCGUGCGGGAUGACGGCCUUCGGGUUGUAAACCGCUUUCGCCUGUGACGAAGCGUGAGUGACGGUAAUGGGUAAAGAAGCACCGGCUAACUACGUG
rnacentral:rRNA from 1 species